GCCUUCUUGGUGUAGUGGUUAACACACUCGACGCGUAUUCGGGAGGUCUGUGGUUCGAAUCCCGACGAGGGCC
rnacentral:tRNA from 1 species